AUACGUAGGGGGCGAGCGUUGUCCGGAAUGAUUGGGCGUAAAGGGCGCGUAGGCGGCUUUGCAAGUCAGUAGUGGAAGUCCAUUUUUCAAGGAUGGAAGUGCUACAGAAACUGCGGAGCUUGAGUGCAGGAGAGGUUAUCGGAAUUCCCGGUGUAGCGGUGAAAUGCGUAGAGAUCGGGAGGAACACCAGUGGCGAAGGCGGGUAACUGGACUGCAACUGACGCUGAGGCGCGAAAGUGUGGGGAGCAAACAGGAUUAGAUACCCUGGUAGCCCACACUGUAAACGAUGAAUGCUAGGUGUAGGAGGUAUCGACCCCUUCUGUGCCGCAGUAAACACAGUAAGCAUUCCGCCUGGGGAGUACGGUCGCAAGAUUAAAACUCAAAUGAAUUGGCGGGG
rnacentral:rRNA from 1 species